rnacentral:rRNA from 1 species
CCUACGGGAGGCAGCAGUAGGGAAUCUUCCACAAUGGACGAAAGUCUGAUGGAGCAACGCCGCGUGAGUGAAGAAGGGUUUCGGCUCGUAAAGCUCUGUUGGUAGUGAAGAAAGAUAGAGGUAGUAACUGGCCUUUAUUUGACGGUAAUUACUUAGAAAGUCACGGCUAACUACGUGCCAGCAGCCGCGGUAACACGUAGGUGGCAAGCGUUGUCCGGAUUUAUUGGGCGUAAAGCGAGUGCAGGCGGUGCAAUAAGUCUGAUGUGAAAGCCUUCGGCUCAACCGGAGAAUUGCAUCAGAAACUGUUGAACUGGAGUGCAGAAGAGGAGAGUGGAACUCCAUGUGUAGCGGUGGAAUGCGUAGAUAUAUGGAAGAACACCAGUGGCGAAGGCGGCUCUCUGGUCUGCAACUGACGCUGAGGCUCGAAAGCAUGGGUAGCGAACAGGAUUAGAUACCCCUGUAGUC